rnacentral:rRNA from 1 species
UACGUAGGGGGCUAGCGUUGUCCGGAAUCACUGGGCGUAAAGCGCACGUAGGCGGAUUGCUAAGUCAGGGGUGAAAUCCUGGAGCUCAACUCCAGAACUGCCUUUGAUACUGGCGAUCUUGAGUCCGGGAGAGGUGAGUGGAACUCCGAGUGUAGAGGUGAAAUUCGUAGAUAUUCGGAAGAACACCAGUGGCGAAGGCGGCUCACUGGCCCGGUACUGACGCUGAUGUGCGAAAGCGUGGGGAGCAAACAGG